UACGUAGGUGGCAAGCGUUAUCCGGAUUUAUUGGGUGUAAAGGGCGUGUAGGCGGGAGCGCAAGUCAGAUGUGAAAACUCAGGGCUCAACCCUGAGCCUGCAUUUGAAACUGUGUUUCUUGAGUGCUGGAGAGGCAACCGGAAUUCCGUGUGUAGCGGUGAAAUGCGUAGAUAUACGGAGGAACACCAGUGGCGAAGGCGGAUUGCUGGACAGUAACUGACGCUGAGGCGCGAAAGCGUGGGGAGCAAACAGG
rnacentral:rRNA from 1 species